rnacentral:rRNA from 1 species
CGCGUAGGCGGCCUUCUAAGUCGAACGUGAAAUCCCUGGGCUCAACCCAGGAACUGCGUCCGAUACUGGAAGGCUUGAAUCCGGGAGAGGGAUGCGGAAUUCCAGGUGUAGCGGUGAAAUGCGUAGAUAUCUGGAGGAACACCGGUGGCGAAGGCGGCAUCCUGGACCGGUAUUGACGCUGAGGCGCGAAAGCCAGGGGAGCAAACGG